rnacentral:rRNA from 1 species
UACGAAGGGGGGCUAGCGUUACUCGGAUUGACUGGGCGUAAAGGGCGCGUAGGCGGUUUGUACAUGUCAGACGGUGAAAAUUCCUGGGCUCAACCUGGGGGCUGCGUUUCUGAUACGUGACGGACUUUGAGUUCGGAAGAGGGUCGUGGAAUUCCCGAGUGUCAGAGGUGAAAGUUCGAUUAGAUAUUGGGUAGGAAACAACCGG